UGGGGAAUAUUGCACAAUGGGCGAAAGCCUGAUGCAGCAACGCCGCGUGAGUGAUGAAGGUCUUCGGAUUGUAAAGCUCUGUCUUUUGGGACGAUAAUGACGGUACCAAAGGAGGAAGCCACGGCUAACUACGUGCCAGCAGCCGCGGUAAUACGUAGGUGGCGAGCGUUGUCCGGAUUUACUGGGCGUAAAGGGUGCGUAGGCGGAUGUUUAAGUGAGAUGUGAAAUACCCGGGCUUAACUUGGGUGCUGCAUUUCAAACUGGAUAUCUAGAGUGCAGGAGAGGAGAAUGGAAUUCCUAGUGUAGCGGUGAAAUGCGUAGAGAUUAGGAAGAACACCAGUGGCGAAGGCGAUUCUCUGGACUGUAACUGACGCUGAGGCACGAAAGCGUGGGUAGCAAACAGGAUUAGAUACCCUGGUAGUCCACGCCGUAAACGAUGAGUACUAGGUGUAGGAGGUAUCGACCCCUUCUGUGCCGCAGUAAACACAUUAAGUACUCCGCCUGGGAAGUACGAUCGCAAGAUUAA
rnacentral:rRNA from 1 species